UGCUUUGGAACUAUGAAUGAGACCACCACUUAGUAGUUCAUAUAAUUGCUUUUUAAACUUUGCCAACUCUAGAGAGUCAAUGUGAUAUGGUGGUCUCAUUGGAGGCUUUACUCUUAGCUCUAGCUUGAUGUGAUGAUCUACACCUCAAUAUGGUAGUAGAGAUUUUGACAACUUGAGUAGUCUAAUAUCAAUGAACUUCUUUAAAGCAUUCGCCAC
rnacentral:lncRNA from 1 species